CGCCCAUAGCUCAACUGGAUAGAGUACUUGACUACGAAUCAAGCGGUUAGAGGUUCGACUCCUCUUGGGCG
rnacentral:tRNA from 1 species